UCUGUUUAUUUUUGAACCUUCUUCCUCUCUGUGUCCUGUUCUUCCAGUAGUAAUAGCUGGGUUUUGGACACAUCUUGCCCUGCAUAUUUGCCUCUUCUGACACUGUCAAGAGCAGAACAGUGUUGUGGUAGCAGGAGACAUAAACAAGAUGAAGAACAUUAAUUCUCCCUAACUUAAAUCAUAGGCAGUGUUAUCUAGGCUGUGAACUUAGUUUGUAACCAGAUAAUAAUGGGAAGCAGGAUGAAACAUUUUUGUUUCCAUUCCAGGCCUUUUAAUAGCGAAUAUUUCUCCUUGGAAGAAAUGUUUUCCUAACUGGACAUUUUUUCUCCAAAAAUGGAAGUUCCACUCUACUGGGUUGGUGUGAGAAGACUUUGAGCUAACAAGUCCUUGCCAUUGGACUCGUGGGGAUCCUGAGAGAGCAAAGACCUUAAACCUUGAUGGGGACCAGCAGGAAAGGAAUGUGGUCCCUGGCAGGGUGGACAAGAGAUUUUAUGAUUUCUGGGAGAAGUACUUGCUUCAACUUUUUAAGCUGAAGAUCAAAAGAAGUCAAGAUUUCAAGUGGAGUCUCCAAUAAAAGUAACCAUGUCCCAGGAAGACUGGUCAUAUUCCUAAGUUACAAAAGCAGUGGUUUAUUAGGUAGAUAUAAUUCAUUACAGAAAAAUAAAAGCUUUUGUUUCCAAGACAGUAUUUUAAAAGAAAUCCAUCUCCUAGCAUGUUGGACCUCAGAUUUUUUUUUCACUAUACUGUUAAUACCAGUUUUAGGACAAUUAACAAAGACCUUCAGGUAAUUUCAGAGGGAGGUUAAUUAGAACAGCAGCAGGGUAUCAGUAUGUUUUAUAAUAAUAUUUCAAUCGUUGACCCUACGAUGACCCCACUAGUGCAACCCACUAUUUCCUUCAUUAAAGCCUGAACAUUUCACAGAGUUCAUCGCUGACACCAAGGUUUCCAGGCUGAAGUCACAGCACACAGGGCUGCCAAGUGCCUUACACCAAAACACAGCAUGAAGGCUGCUGUAUUCACAUUGCUCAGAUUCUGAUCCGAAAAUCCUCAUCCAUGCCUCCCAAAAAUGACCUGAAAAGCUUCUUUAGGUAGCACCAGUGUGGGUCAGGCCUAAGCACCUAAUGCCUGAGCUUGUGUGCAUUUCUGCCUCUGUCAGGCUGGGCACCUGGAAAAGAUAAAACACACUUACUGCAACCAGUUCUGCACUCCAGUCUGCUCCUGCACCAAGAUCACAUCCUGAAUGUGGAAAAUGUCCUUAUGCAAAUCUCAGAUUGUGUUCACUGAUGUUUUGCAUUUGGGUUUGUUUUCCUUUUUCAGCAUAGUAAGGGCUUCAGGAUAGCAGUAAAGCUGCUGUACAGCUAACUGAACUCCUAUACCAUUAGGCAAAUUAAUUUUACAUAUAAAUUAUUUAAAUUUAAUCUGUGAUUAGUUCCCUGUAUGAGCAGUGAUACCACUAUAGCACAAGUAUUUUCCUUUUUAGAGAAUUGCAGCAUGAUAAAUAAAUGAAUAAAGACUUACAGAAAUGUAUUCCAGCCCAUGUGUUGAGAAGCAUUCUUAUCAGAAAUCUUGGAAAUCACAAUAUUCCCUAUGGUCCCCUAGUCUGCAUUAAAAAUAACUAAAGACUGUAGUCAUAAUUUUUUUUCAAAACAUGAAAUGCAUUUUAUGCAACAAUGCCUCAGAUGAGACACAAACUCAACUGAGCUUACAAAUAUUAGACAUUAGCUCUUUGCAUAGCCUUGUUUCAGCUAACAGGCCCUAUUGGUUGCUGUAGAUGCAUUGAAACCCAGUUUUUAGAUUAAAAUUCAUUAAAGAUGUCUCACAUUUUCACUGAAAUGUCUAUUGUUGGCUUUCUAGUAGUGGUGAGGGAGGAGGAAAGAGAGAAAAAAUUAAGAAAUGUGGUAAGUAGUACCACUCCAUUUGCCUCAGAAUAGAAAAAAGAUUUUGAGUUCUUCUGUAAUUAGUUAUAAUUCCUCAUAUUGCAGUCAGAAGUGUCUGCCCUGACUCUUGAUUCUUGAACACACCUCACCCUGAUAAAAAUGAGAUGAUAUUUGAUGAUUUUGGUGGUUGCUGCCCAGGUUUUUUUUCUGCAUUCGUGAGUCAAAAUGGUUAUUAGGAUGGAGAUCCUAAUAAGACAUCCACAACAGGAAUAAAUAGAUAAAAAAGCUAAUAUAAACAAUCUAGUUUAUUAUUAUUCAGAGGCAGAAGUUCACUUUUAAAGGCCUAGCUCUGCUGGUCUCAUUCAUGGUCACAAAUCCACUUUGCAGCUCAUUGUCAUUAAUAUCAGAAAAGUACUGAUUGUAAAUAGCCACACAGGGAAUAGGUAAAAUUAAAGCCCCAAACCUCUAAAUUUCUUCUAGGUUUUUUUAUUAAUAGCCUCAGAAAUCUGCUUGAGUGUUUUUGUGUCUGCAAACAAUAAUAAACAGGAAAAAAAGGGGUUUGCAUUUGCUCAUUCAUAAGCAUGUUCUUGUCUGUUUUUCAAGCAGGGUGUGAUCCCAUUAACUUGUUUAGUUGAUAACCUCAUAUGACCCAACAAGUCCUCACAGAAUGAACCCCUGGCUAUUUUUAUUUCUUCCUCCUCUGUGCCAGUGAUUUCCUAAUUCCUUCUCCAGUCGAGCUGCCUUGUCCAAAAAAAAUCAGACUGUGACAACUGUGAGCCUAUUACAUGCACAUCUGCUUAACAAAGUAUUGGAAGAGAAUUGUUGAUUUUUUUGUGUUUUUUUUUUUCUCUGAGGGGGAGGGCCUGGGGUCAGACUGAAGUGCUAAUGAUUUUUUUGUUUCAGAGUUUUUGUUUCUGCUUUUCCAAUAAGGGCUUAACAAUGGUAAUUUGGAAAAAAGAACCUGUUGAAAUAUAAAAAAUCACAAGCAGAGGUUAGUAGGAAGAAGAAUAUAAUUUCUGUGCAAUUCAAAGCCAUGCUGCAAGGCAUGUUUGCUAAAAGCAAUAUAUUUCUAUCAGCAGAACCAUUCCAUAGUAGAAGCACUCACUUUCUAGUAGUCCUGUGAAAUGUAUGUGAAAGGAUUUGAGAAAUUCUCCUCUAUGCAAACAAACCUCAUUGUGCCAUUGUAAACUUGCCUGCAAAUGGUAGACUGAUAUCCUUCAAGUAAUUUUUUUAUUUUCUAGAAGAAAAAUACAAGGUUGCCUGGUUUGUUUUUUUUUUUUUUUUUUUUUUUUUUUGUACUGAAAAUUAAUAUUUCAAAAGGAUGGAAUGCUCACCCUUAGAUGUAAAAAUGGCAGAGAGAGGUAAAGCUAGAAUUUCAGGUAUUUCAGUUUUACUUAUAGUAGCUGUCAGGCACCUAAGAGCAUUUCUUGAUUCUCAUAGCCUGAGUGAAUUUUCUGAGCACUGGCUGGUACUGCUCAGAAAAGGUGUGAACUUUUCAGGCAAAUCUCUCCAUGACUGUGCUUCAAAUCCAAAGCCUAAAGGAAGAACAAUCACUCCAUGACUGUGCUUCAAACCCAAACCCAAUAGGAAGAACAUUAUAUUCCAUCUAGAAGUCACAGUGCCCUCUGUCAGGAGUGCAAAAGGAUCCCAUGGGUGGUCUGCCUAUGAACUUUAUUACAGAAAUGAUAGAUGAGUGUAUACAAAGCACUGAGAAUAGAAAGUAAGCUAUUUUAUAGCAAAGAUAUUCAAGAAUCUGAAUUUUUGAGUAUAUGUUUCUCAGAAUAGGAUUUCAUGGGAGAUGCUGUGGGGAGGAAAGGAUCAAACAAGGUAUCAGUAUUCACCAAACUAAAAUUUCCAAGUCUGAAAAGUAAGCAUAGAUGGACAGCUGUGAUGUGUGCAAGACAGCCUGGCACUAAUGAACAACAUUGCCAACAACGCUGACAGCAUUUCACUGAUUUCCUGUGCUCAGUGUAGGUAUUGAAAACUAAUACAUUAAUGGUGGACUACUAAUGUGAAUUAAAAACUAGAGACACACAGCUUUCAGUCUGCCUUUCCUUCUGUCACUUAUUUUGUACUGCCUGAAUGAGCUAUUACCUUCUUGUUUCCCCGAGAUGUUGGUUCACAAGGGUAGAGUGAGCAGACUCAAUUUCACUGAAAGUAAUGGAGUGAGAUUAUCCAGAAUUAUUUCCAGUGGGCUGAGUUUGUUACAUUCCUUCUGUUGUGAGAAUAUAAGUAAACAACUAAACACCUUUACUGAAAGCUGAGAAUCUUCACAGUCAUCACCUCUUCCUAUUUCCUUGGAUUAGUCCAGCAUUUUGGGUUUAGCCAUGCUCAAUUAACUCAUCCAGGAAUUGGUCCAGUCAGAAAUAGUUGAUUUAAGUGAGAUAAACUGGGCAUCUGUUUGGAAAAAAAUGAUUAUCCAAAAUAUGCUUUCAUCGUGAGAAAAUGAACUGUGCUGUCUCCAUAUUUAAAAACAUAUGCUUCUGAAUAGAUUCCCUUCCUUUGAAAGCUCAAGAAACAGAAAAAAAGUAACAUUGAACCUGAAAAUGAAACAAGCAGGUAUGAAGUAAAACUCUAGUAACUGAUGUGUUAACAUUUUAAUGUACUGGAACUGGACCUACAUCAAACCACUGUAUAAACUGCAUUGAAUUAAAGCGAUUAAACCCAGCAAUAAAACCAACCACUGCAGAAAUGAUUGAAAUAUGUAGGGUGCUUGCAUGUGUUUGUACUGGUGGCAAUAAAAAUGCUGCCAUAUUUAGUCACUGAUUUGCUUUAGCAUAGAAAUAAAAUCAGCUGACAACA